GGUUAAGCGACUAAGCGUACACGGUGGAUGCCCUGGCAGUCAGAGGCGAUGAAGGGCGUGCUAAUCUGCGAUAAGCGCCGGUAAGGUGAUAUGAACCGUUAUAACCGGCGAUACCCGAAUGGGGAAACCCAGUGUGAUUCGUCACACUAUCAUUAACUGAAUCCAUAGGUUAAUGAGGCGAACCGGGGGAACUGAAACAUCUAAGUACCCCGAGGAAAAGAAAUCAACCGAGAUUCCCCCAGUAGCGGCGAGCGAACGGGGAGGAGCCCAGAGCCUGAAUCAGCAUGUGUGUUAGUGGAAGCGUCUGGAAAGUCGCGCGAUACAGGGUGACAGCCCCGUACACAAAAGCGCAUGUGUUGUGAGCUCGAUGAGUAGGGCGGGACACGUGGUAUCCUGUCUGAAUAUGGGGGGACCAUCCUCCAAGGCUAAAUACUCCUGACUGACCGAUAGUGAACCAGUACCGUGAGGGAAAGGCGAAAAGAACCCCGGCGAGGGGAGUGAAAAAGAACCUGAAACCGUGUACGUACAAGCAGUGGGAGCACAGGUUUACCUGUGUGACUGCGUACCUUUUGUAUAAUGGGUCAGCGACUUAUAUUCUGUAGCAAGGUUAACCG
rnacentral:rRNA from 1 species